AAGUCGAACGGAAAGGCCUUCUCGGAGGUACUCGAGUGGCGAACGGGUGAGUAACACGUGGGUGAUCUGCCCUGCACUCUGGGAUAAGCCUGGGAAACUGGGUCUAAUACCGGAUAGGACCGCACUUUAGUGUGUGUGGUGGAAAGUUUUUUCGGUGUAGGAUGAGCCCGCGGCCUAUCAGCUUGUUGGUGGGGUAAUGGCCUACCAAGGCGGCGACGGGUAGCCGGACUGAGAGGUUGGUCGGCCACAUUGGGACUGAGAUACGGCCCAGACUCCUACGGGAGGCAGCAGUGGGGAAUAUUGCACAAUGGGCGCAAGCCUGAUGCAGCGACGCCGCGUGGGGGAUGACGGCCUUCGGGUUGUAAACUCCUUUCGCCAGGGACGAAGCGUUUUGUGACGGUACCUGGAGAAGAAGCACCGGCUAACUACGUGCCAGCAGCCGCGGUAAUACGUAGGGUGCAAGCGUUGUCCGGAAUUACUGGGCGUAAAGAGCUCGUAGGUGGUUUGUCACGUCGUCUGUGAAAUUCCACAGCUUAACUGUGGGCGUGCAGGCGAUACGGGCUGACUUGAGUACUGUAGGGGUAACUGGAAUUCCUGGUGUAGCGGUGAAAUGCGCAGAUAUCAGGAGGACACCGAUGGCGAAGGCAGGUUACUGGGCAGUUACUGACGCUGAGGAGCGAAAGCAUGGGU
rnacentral:rRNA from 1 species